GUGAUUGUUGUGGGACGAUGAAAGGGUCCGGCCCCAAGAUCGAUGUAGUUUAGGGAAAUAUCUUUUCCCAAGGAAUGUCUCCGAGUUUACAAGAUGAGCGCCAAGGUCACGCCCCCCGCCCUCCCUCACAGCCCUCUGUUCACAGCAGCACCGUUCUCUUGUGGCCGGUUUUGUUGCUUUUCUGCUUAGCAGCCUCCCUCACAGAACCGUGAUCCCCCCACCCCACACAUCCCUUUCCCCGCUUCCUCCCGCACUCCUCUUCUUCCAGCAGGUGUUUACAGAACAUCCACGGAGUUUGGGCCAAGCCCAGAGUGAGGAGCUGGGCACUGGGGUGGCAGAAGACCAGGCCUUGCCUUGAGCCCUUGUGCGAGCUUUACCUCAAAGCCUCUGUAAUCGAAGUGGGAGAAGGGGUGGUGGUGCGUGGUUGGUCUCAGCCACCUCCACCACUCCUCAGAAGAUGAACGCUGGAUCCAGGAAGAGAUUGUCAAGGCUACACAGAAUUAAGCCUGCUCUUUGAAGGUGGGGAGAUGUUAUCUCAUCCCUCAAACGUUGCUUGCUACAAACACCGCCCAGAGAAAUGGACUGAUAAAGAGCUGGACAUUGGAGUGGCAGAACAGCAAGAAUGAUCAGAGAAGUUCAAGGGCCAUGGCAGAGAGCCUUUUCCAACAUAGUACAGUGUACUUAUACACUACAUAUGAAGGCCAGCUAAUCUAGUCUUGGGAGAACCAAGAGAGGCUUCUGAAAGAGAUGACAUCUAUGCCGAACCUUGAAGGUCAAACAGGAAUCAGCCACAUAAAGAGAAGGAGGAGAGCAUUCUGGAUAGCAGGAACAUCAUGUAUAAAACUUUGAAGUAAACGAUACACUCCGAGAAGUUUUUCAUUCCCUUUCACAUUCAUCUCCAUAUUGAACUCCAAUCUCAAACACCUAUAAUUAAAGUCAGUGUGUGACUCUGGAAGGUCUAGAUUCAAUACACUUCUGUGAAUUGCAGUGGCCUCUGGAAUCUUUACAUUAAUGUCACAUAAAAUUCACAGCUAAUUAUUGUCGACUCAGUUCAUAACAUUUCCACCUUUUCGGUAACUCUUCUUUUUUUACUCCACAGUCCGCCUGGUUAACAGUGAGGCUUUGUAACAGCAUAACUUUAACUAUGGCUACAGUUUAUUGGCUCCUAUUUUGGAAACUGACUCAUGCUGAACUAAUCCCCUUUCCCUGGGAGUUUAAAAUCAAGGUUAGGAGAUUUUUAACGUACCGACUGCUCUCCAACAGCAGCAUUAUAACCUUUGCUAUUUUUUUCCCUUGUAUUCUGAAAAUAGAAGAGAAAUACAGAAAACUCUCUGGGUUAUGUAUAGUGCACUAGAGUCUGGUACAGUUCAUGAGCAGCGUCUCUAUCUCUGGUUUCUGAGACAUCCUUGCAUCCUUAUAAUAAAUUCCUCUUUAACUUUAGAAAUUGUGUAAUUUUCUUUCUUUAAUUUUUAUUUAUUCAUUUAUUUUAUUUUAUUUUGAUGGACUCUCGCUCUGUCAGCCAGGCUGGAGUGGCACCCAGCCACUCUCGAUCUGUCACCCAUAUCUACAAUGGCGAGAUCUUGGCUCAUUGAACCUCUGUCUCCCAGGUUCAAGCGAUUCUCCUGCCUCAGCCUCCUGCCGAGCCUGCAGGUGCACCCCACCACACCUGGCUAAUUUUUGUAGAAAUUGUCUAAUUUUCCAUGUCACCAAUGAAUAAAAAAACGUACAUAGGGUUAGACAAGAUUAGAUCCUAUAAAAUGCACAAAACUUUAUUUUAAUAAUUUCAAUAAUAUUUAUUCAACCCACCCUUUAUAUCAUGACUUUAUGGCAUGCAUUAUGCAAGGUAUUGGGUAUAUAAACUCAGUCCCUGCCCUUCCAUGUAUUACAGUCUAUAGGGUACAUUUUAGACUGUGAGACUAUUGGUUUAAAUAUUAACUUCCAUCCAGAACCAAUUUCCUCCAAAACAUUCCACCUUGAAACAAUCAAUUGUGCCCAGAUUCUUAGGGUUGUAUAAGAACAUUGAUUCUUCCACAGUCAACAUAUGGCCUGAAGGGAGGGGAUGUCAGUUUCCAGAGCAAAGAAAAAGGGUCUGCUGGGCAAUCAUAUCAGUACCUACUACAUCUCUUCAAA
rnacentral:lncRNA from 10 species